ACAAGGCCAUACAUUCUAUCCUGCCGCAAUGCCAAUAAUAUACUGCUGCAGGUAAAAAAUUCAAACAACUACACACAAUACUGCUGACCACUAAACAGUAAACAUUGAAGCCUUCACUCUUAAAAAAAGACGUGCUAUUAAAAUCAACACAGCUUUUUUGUCGAAUAAUGAGUACAUCUUAAGAUGUGUUGAUACAACACACCACUGACGUGUCACCAAA